rnacentral:rRNA from 1 species
UAGUCCACGCCCUAAACGAUGUGCGCUAGAUGUUGGGGGACUUGUCCUUCAGUGUCGUAGCUAACGUGUUAAGCGCACCGCCUGGGGAGUACGGCCGCAAGGCUAAAACUCAAAGGAAUUGACGGGGGCCCGCACAAGCGGUGGAGUAUGUGGUUUAAUUCGAAGCAACGCGCAGAACCUUACCUACCCUUAACAUUUCACGACGUAUACAGAGGUGUAUAUUUCUCUUCGGAGACGUGAGGAUAGGUGCUGCAUGGCUGUCGUCAGCUCGUGUCGUAAGAUGUCUGGUUAAGUCCAAUAACGAGCGCAACCCUUAUCCUUAGUUACCAGCAUUAAGUUGGGGACUCUAGGGAGACUGCCGGUGUUAAACCGGAGGAAGGCGGGGAUGACGUCAAGUCCUCAUGGCCCUUACGGGUAGGGCUACACACGUACUACAAUGGCAGAUACAAACCGUUUGCAAAGCCGCGAGGUUGAGCUAAUCGGUGAAACACUGUCCCAGUCCGGAUUGGAGUCUGCAACUCGACUCCA